rnacentral:rRNA from 1 species
GACGAACGCUGGCGGCGUGCUUAACACAUGCAAGUCGAACGGAAAGGCCCUGCUUUUGUGGGGUGCUCGAGUGGCGAACGGGUGAGUAGCACGUGAGUAACCUGCCCUUGACUUUGGGAUAACUUCAGGAAACUGGGGCUAAUACCGGAUAGGAGCUCCUGCUGCAUGGUGGGGGUUGGAAAGUUUCGGCGGUUGGGGAUGGACUCGCGGCUUAUCAGCUUGUUGGUGGGGUAGUGGCUUACCAAGGCUUUGACGGGUAGCCGGCCUGAGAGGGUGACCGGCCACAUUGGGACUGAGAUACGGCCCAGACUCCUACGGGAGGCAGCAGUGGGGAAUAUUGCACAAUGGGCGGAAGCCUGAUGCAGCGACGCCGCGUGCGGGAUGACGGCCUUCGGGUUGUAAACCGCUUUCGCCUGUGACGAAGCGUGAGUGACGGUAAUGGGUAAAGAAGCACCGGCUAACUACGUGCCAGCAGCCGCGGUGAUACGUAGGGUGCGAGCGUUGUCCGGAUUUAUUGGGCGUAAAGGGUUCGUAGGUGGUUGAUCGCGUCGGAAGUGUAAUCUUGGGGCUUAACCCUGAGCGUGCUUUCGAUACGGGUUGACUUGAGGAAGGUAGGGGAGAAUGGAAUUCCUGGUGGAGCGGUGGAAUGCGCAGAUAUCAGGAGGAACACCAGUGGCGAAGGCGGUUCUCUGGGCCUUUCCUGACGCUGAGGAGCGAAAGCGUGGGGAGCGAACAGGCUUAGAUACCCUGGUAGUCCACGCUGUAAACGGUGGGUACUAGGUGUGGGGUCCAUUCCACGGGUUCCGUGCCGUAGCUAACGCUUUAAGUACCCCGCCUGGGGAGUACGGCCGCAAGGCUAAAACUCAAAGGAAUUGACGGGGCCCCGCACAAGCGGCGGAGCAUGCGGAUUAAUUCGAUGCAACGCGUAGAACCUUACCUGGGUUUGACAUGGAUCGGGAGUGCUCAGAGAUGGGUGUGCCUCUUUUGGGGUCGGUUCACAGGUGGUGCAUGCCUGUCGUCAGCUCGUGUCGUGAGAUGUUGGGUUAAGUCCCGCAACGAGCGCAACCCUUGUUCACUGUUGCCAGCACGUUAUGGUGGGGACUCAGUGGAGACCGCCGGGGUCAACUCGGAGGAAGGUGGGGAUGACGUCAAGUCCUCAUGCCCCUUAUGUCCAGGGCUUCACGCAUGCUACAAUGGCUGGUACAGAGAGUGGCGAGCCUGUGAGGGUGAGCGAAUCUCGGAAAGCCGGUCUCAGUUCGGAUUGGAGUCUGCAACUCGACCUCAUGAAGUCGGAGUCGCUAGUAAUCGCAAAUCAGCAACGCUGCGGUGAAUACGUUCCCGGGGCU